CGGCGGAGGCGGCGCACGUGACGUCGCUCUUCCCGCGGGAGGCGGGCAGCGGCUCUCGCCUCACCUGGUCCUCGCGGCUCCUGGCAAACCACCAUUCUCCUUUCUGUCUCUGGGAAUUUGACUGCUCUAGGUACCUCGGAUAAGUGGAAUCAUCCAGUGUUUGUCUUGCUGACCGGCUCAUUUCACUUAGGAUGAUAUCUUCAAGGUUCGUCAACAGUGUGGAGCUGACUGGCCAUCCAUACACAGGCAGACAAUGCAUGUU